rnacentral:rRNA from 1 species
UACGUAGGCAGCAAGCGUUGUUCGGAUUUACUGGGCGUAAAGGGUGUGUAGGCGGUUUUUUAAGUUUGGUGUGAAAUCUCCCGGCUCAACUGGGAGGGUGCGCCGAAUACUGAAAGACUAGAGUGCGGGAGAGGAAAGUGGAAUUCCUGGUGUAGCGGUGAAAUGCGUAGAUAUCAGGAGGAACACCGGUGGUGUAGACGGCUUUCCGGACCGUAACUGACGCUGAUGCACGAAAGCUAGGGGAGCAAACAGG